UAUAUUUAUCUGUAUUACACAUCCACUGAUAGGUGCCUAGGCUGGCUCUUUGUAUCUCGACCAUCAUGAGCAGUGCUGCAGCACUCACAGGAGAACAUGGGUGCCUCUGGUCUACUCAGCGUGGGGAAUGCCAGGCGCUGGUAGCUCCGUGUCUUGUCUUCUGAGCUACAAAUAAUCUGCUUUCAGAAGGAAGGAGUUAUGUUCCCAAGGAGGGAGACGAGGACAGGGACUGCGGUCCUAACAGGCUGAGCAGACAUCAGAGCUUCCUAGGCUCAUCUAGCCGUGGUCAUCCCCACAGCUCUCUGGCUGACAAGCUUCAGCAGAGGAUCACUGAUAGAGUUACGAUUCUUUUUGUUGAUAGGGUAUGCUCUAUAGCCCAGAAUGGCCUUCAACUCACACUACUUCCUUGGUCUCCCAAAUGCUGUGACUAUAGGCCUGCGAUGUUGGUUUCUUUGGCAUAUUGCUAAUAUAACAUGCUAACUUCAGAGAACACUGGGAAAAAACUAGGAACUACAUAUCAUCUUUGAAAACUUUUUAACUUAAAUCUAUAAUUAUCUAAUAGUUUUAUUUGUCUUCAAAGAAACAAAGUGUUAAGCAGAACGAAAGCGAGGACAAUCUUUACAAAGCAACCUGGAUUGGGUUCUCUGAAGAUCAGCUAAGGGAGAGCAGAGAAUGCUUACCCGACACUUUAAACACAGAUCUGACACUGUGUAGUGAAAAAGCCCACCAUGUACUGGAGAAUAUCAAUCCCAAAUCACCAAUCAUAUUGUUCAGUAAAAUUAUAGGAUUUAAAUACUCACUCCUUUCAUAUCAAAAGAUUGCAUGCCUAGUAAGGCAAAGAAAUAAGAUGACCACAAAACUGUUUUUGCAGCAAUACCUGGGCCAGAAAAGCUACAGAUUUAAAAUACUCAACAAAAGGUGAGCCAAAGACUUAAUUUCCAGCAAAAAUGAGCACCACAUAUAAAGAGCACAGAUGAUUUCCUUCACAGAAGCAGGAAAAUCCAUAGAGCAUUUUCCAUAAAGUCCUGAAGACUCCAUGGAAGAAAUGUAAAGAAACUAUAAUGUAGAAAGAAAUCUUCAUGAAGACUGGUGGUGAAUACUAACCAUACAGUUGGUGCAGCCCAAGGUCAGGGUUGGGGGGCAGGAUAUGGUAACUGUGUGUUAAGAACAUAUAAGACAACUAUGGCUAUUAGGAAGAAUGUAAAUAUAAAUAAAAAUAACAAAAACUCUUGUAAAGUUGUUUUAAACUAUCAGAUUGGUAGCAUGAGUGUUAUUAUUCCUAGAUUAUUAUAUGUGGAAUCCAGAAUUAAAGGACAUAAGUAUUUAAGGACAGAUUAAUUCUAUCAAACCUUUAGUAUAAGAAAAGAGGACAGAGAUGUAUUACAGAAGAAAUAUAUAACCCACUUCAAACUGAUCUUAAAUCUGACUUGGGAACAUUAGUUUAAGUUUGUGAGGCAUUUACCUUAUAUUUUAUCUUUAUGUUUCCCCAUCUGUCCACUAAAAAAAUGAGUUUAGUAACAACUCAGUGCCUACAUGGCAGUCUUGUUACAAAGGCAAGUGUCUAAUGAGAAUGCUUCCCAUAACUGGCUAAUUUCAGUCCCAUAAAGUAGGAGAUAUAAAAUCACACAGGCAUCGUAACCUGCAAGCUAGCAAGAAGCAAGCAGAGACAAUUACAAUUAUGUCAAGAGGACCCAGGAACAAGUUCCUACUGGCUAAACAGAAGGCCUGAAUUAGCAUAAGAUAAAAUUGCAAUAGACCAAAACCUAUAAAUUUAAAUCUGAGAGAAUGUAAUAACCAGCUAGUUAUCUCAUCUGAAUCAAUGAAUGUGGAAAACAGAUAAGGGAUUAUCUUGCCUUUCCCACUAGAACUUUAUCUCCUAAGAAGAAUGAGCACAGGUCCCAGUGAGAGACCUUGUCUCAAAUAAACAAGGGUGGAGGGCUCCUGAGGACACCCAAGGCUGACCUCUGACCUAAACACACACACACACACACACACACACACACACACACACACACACACACACAGAGUGUGUGCACCACCUCCCCACGCCUCAACAAAUUAUUCUGAAAAGACAACUACUCUAACAUUUGAAAAGCCUAAUGAAUAUAUGUAUCUAGAUACUGAUCAGUCAACAGCUGCUAAGAGAGCAAAGCCCAGACAUUAUGACUUUCAUGGUGAAAGAACCUAACCACCUUCUACAGUGUUGACUAAGGAUGAAAACUCAGAUCACGCCAGCCAUCCUGUUGCCGUCUGCAGAAAAUGCGGAGGACAGAGGAACACUAUGAACUACCAGACACUGUCCAACUCCACGGGACCUAUGGUCAAUACACAAGUGAAAGGGGAAAGACAGGAGAUGUAUCAAGCUUUAAAAGGGCAAGGUUCCCAUCUGGAUAAUAAAACUACAAGGAAACC
ensembl:antisense 4930565N06Rik RIKEN cDNA 4930565N06 gene